CAAAUUGUACCUGACAAAUAAUAUCAAUCGAACCACUUUGUCAAGUAUAUUUCCCCGAGAAAAACUGGACACAAUGACAUAGAAAUCGAUGGUCAAUGAACAGAUGUGUUAGACCGUGACCGUCGUGACUAUAUCGAAGGUGUCGUAGACUAAGGCUGACUUCAGUAUCCUCAAUGAACUGCUUGUAACGAUGUAAACAAAAUGUAGAAAAAUGGGGAAUUCCCAUUUGUUUAAAAAUACAAUAAAAGGAAGAUUUAAAAGCAACUAUACGUUGCAAUGGCGUUUUUAACUUAAGUGUUGAAUUGGUGAAAUGAAUGUUACGCCCGUAAAGAAAUCUAUUCUGUAUGUAACUCCAGUGGCGGACUGAAAGGGUUAAUGUGUGUGCGGCCUUCUGAUACACACGACUCAGGCCAAUCACACAGGUCAACGGCUGUUGAACAAGGGACAUUACUGCUAGUGCACGCAACUAUGGCCCUUGCUGUGGUCAUGUGGUCAAGCCUAUACGGUCGAGAGACAAUGUGUAAGAAAACAGUUGAGUCCAGGACAGCAAGGCAGUAAGGACUGUGUGGUACCUUUGAGUCCUCGAGAAUGUAGCUGUACGAGCAAGAGAGACUUCUAAUGUUUAGUUAGGCAGAUCUGUUAAGUACAAGAAAGCAGUUGAAGUUAGUGUAACCAAUUGUGUUGAAUUGGCUGUCGAUGUAAUUGUAAUUAAAACGCCAGUUUG